rnacentral:tRNA from 1 species
UAUGCAAUGAACUUAAAAAUCAUUUAUAAAGAAUAAUCUUUUUUUAGAA